GCUUACUUGGUGAAAUUGGUAAACACGACAGACUUAAAAUCUGUUCCUUUUGGGUUAUCGGUUCAAGUCCGAUAGUAAGCA
rnacentral:tRNA from 1 species